rnacentral:sRNA from 1 species
ACCUGCUUCACGGAUAUAACAUUCAGGAUCUGCGAAGGGAAGCACUGCUGUGUGUUGUAGGGUCUGUCUGAUGUCGGACAGGCUCUGUUUUUUUAU